GGAAAAGUAUUAAUUGAGAAAAUUAUCUUAUUUGAGGGGUUAAUUAAGCAAGGACUAAAUUGUAUGAAUUGUGAAAUUUGGGGCAAAAUGGAAAUCAACAUUUUUGCACUAAAACUGUUUUGGACAGCAGCAGUAGUCUAAGUUUGAAAAAUCACCAAAAAUUGUAGAAAUGGAAUUAGAGGAUGAAUAAAAUAUGAAAUUAAAUCUUAUUGAGUCUAGUUUCUUA
rnacentral:lncRNA from 1 species